rnacentral:rRNA from 1 species
CAAACGACUCUCGGCAACGGAUAUCUCGGCUCACACAUCGAUGAAGAACGUAGCAAAAUGCGAUACUUGGUGUGAAUUGCAGAAUCCCGUGAACCAUCGAGUUUUUGAACGCAAGUUGCGCCCGAAGCCUUUUGGUUGAGGGCACGUCUGCCUGGGCGUCACAC